rnacentral:rRNA from 1 species
UGACGGAGGGUGCAAGCGUUGUUCGGAAUUAUUGGGCGUAAAGCGCGCGCAGGCGGCUGGACGAAGUCCAUGGGUGAAAGGCCGGGGCUCAACCCCGAGUGUGCCCAGGAUACUCUCUGGCUGGAGACACGUAGAGGCAAGCGGAAUUCGGGUGUAGCGGUGGAAUGCGUAGAUAUCCGAAAGAACACCGGAGGCGAAGGCGGCUGCUGGGCGUGAUCUGACGCGUGAGGCGG